rnacentral:rRNA from 1 species
UAGGGAAUAUUGCUCAAUGGGCGAAAGCCUGAAGCAGCAACGCCGCGUGUGUGAUGAAGGCCUUCGGGUCGUAAAGCACUUUUCUGGGAGAUGAGAAAGGACAGUAUCCCAGGAAUAAGUCUCGGCUAACUACGUGCCAGCAGCCGCGGUAAAACGUAGGAGGCGAGCGUUAUCCGGAUUCACUGGGCGUAAAGCGCGUGCAGGUGGCGCGGUAAGUUGGGCGUGAAAUCUCCCGGCUCAACUGGGAGAGGUCGUCCAAUACUACCGUGCUUGAGAGCAGAAGAGGAAGAUGGAAUUCCCGGUGUAGUGGUGAAAUGCGUAGAUAUCGGGAGGAACACCAGUGGCGAAGGCGAUCUUCUGGUCUGUUUCUGACACUCAGACGCGACAGCUAGGGUAGUAAACGGGAUUAGAGACCCCGGUAAUCCUAGCCGUAAACGAUGUGAACUUGGCGUUGGUGGGUUAAACUCAAUCAGUGCCGUAGCAAACGCGAUAAG